rnacentral:rRNA from 1 species
UACAGAGGGUGCAAGCGUUAAUCGGAAUUACUGGGCGUAAAGGGCGUGUAGGUGGUUGGAUAAGAUAGAUGUGAAAUCCCCGGGCUUAACCUGGGAAGGUCAUAUAAGACUGUCUAGCUAGAGUACUGUAGAGGGUAGAGGAAUUUCCGGUGUAGCGGUGAAAUGCGUAGAUAUCUGGAGGAACACCGGUGGCGAAGGCGGCAUCCUGGACCGGCAUUGACGCUGAGGCGCGAAAGCCAGGGGAGCAAACGGG